rnacentral:lncRNA from 1 species
UUUGCUUCUCCUUAGACUCCACAUAUGGUAAUCUACAUCAAGCAUGUAUUCAACUGAUUCGCGUCGAAGCGGCGGCUCAGCUCUUGCUAGCCUUGCUGCCACGAUCUGCAUGGCCUGAUAACGGAGCCAAUCAAUGUGGCGAACAGGUAUUGGUUGAACAUAAUGCAUUUUGGGAAGCAAAGGUCUUCCAUAUUGAGCUACCAUAUUAACCCAAGCUGUGCAAGUGAACCUCACAGCCAAGUGAAGCUCUCCAUUCUUCUUUAGGCCAUUGGUUUGGAGAACCAAUAGAGGAUAAUAAUGAGUAUAUACUCUAUCAGUUUCGAGUGUUGAUAACCUUAUUCUCACCUUUCCAAUUCUCUGAUCUUUGUUGUCACUGCUCCCAUUGAGGUGGUGAUUGUCGAAAACACUAACCGUGAUCACAGUGCAUGGAUCAUGAACCUCCCAUGUAUACUGUUCAUUCCACCUAGGCGACAGUGUAUCAAGCAGAGUUCUUGUCCUAACCCAUUUGUUACCGUACUUGGCCACACAGUAUGCAUCAGUAGUCCUACCAUCUUUGCCUUUCAUAGGUAGCAAAUUCCGGGCACUAAGUAUCCCGAGUUCGAGAAUUCCAAUGUUUUUCCUCCUUAAGUGUUUGGACGACGGUUGAAGAUCGCUGCUGAAAUGUGUCGAUUCAUCAAGAACAUGAUACCCUGCUUCCAGACAAAUCCGGAGGUGAAUCUUGCUCGAGAAUUUCUCCUUCUUUCUCUCCGUCUCCUCUUCACCGACCUCACUAGGCCUAUGAAGAUUGAACCAACGUGCAUCCGGGAGCUUACCCGUCUCUUGUCUUUGCGGAACAUUUCUCACCGACAUGACCUCUCUUCCCAAGAUUUCAACAUUGUUAGGACCAAAUUUGUCCUCAACUGUCACAAUUAUAAAAUCCUCAAAAGGUUCACAACUUAGUAUAGCUUGAGCUCUUUCUCCUUGAGUAGCUAAAUCUCCAACCACAGUCUGUACUCUACCUGCAACACUUCUCAAUCUGUCAUACCUCAUUCUCACAAUAUCCGAAGGUCUUGAAGUUGGAAAAGUGUCAAAUUCCUCAUCCAAUUCAUCUGGAUGCACAGCUUCUGCUUGCGAAAGUCUAGCAUCCAUGUGUGGUGGAUUCCUUGGCCGGAACCGGUAAUUCCAAAUCCCGAUUACAAACAAAUAAAGAAAACUGGUUGGCAAUAUCAAUUCAGGGUAGAAAAUAAGUAUCAAGAACAAGACAUGAACAAGGCAAGUUGUGAUUGGGUUUCUCCAAGUGCAAAUAUCAUCAAGCCAUUUACACACAGCUGAAAAACCCGAGAGUAGCGACAUUAUGCGGUGAAAAUUGGCUUUGCUUCUCCUUAGACUCCACAUAUGGUAAUCUACAUCAAGCAUGUAUUCAACUGAUUCGCGUCGAAGCGGCGGCUCAGCUCUUGCUAGCCUUGCUGCCACGAUCUGCAUGGCCUGAUAACGGAGCCAAUCAAUGUGGCGAACAGGUAUUGGUUGAACAUAAUGCAUUUUGGGAAGCAAAGGUCUUCCAUAUUGAGCUACCAUAUUAACCCAAGCUGUGCAAGUGAACCUCACAGCCAAGUGAAGCUCUCCAUUCUUCUUUAGGCCAUUGGUUUGGAGAACCAAUAGAGGAUAAUAAUGAGUAUAUACUCUAUCAGUUUCGAGUGUUGAU